rnacentral:lncRNA from 1 species
AUAAUUUUCUACAGUGGGCCUGACUGGGAUGAUUUCAGGAUGUUGGUUUUAGAAAUGUUUGCUGUCCUAAAUGAGCACCUUGUGUCAGAAAUUUCCAUAGACGCAUCAUUCUGAGGUAAAUUUUUAUUCUGUGAAAGUAGAUGUCAGGUAUAAUUGGGAGAUUGCAUCAAAGUUCAAAGGCAGAAAUCCUCACUUUUCCAGAUUGAAUCAAUCUGGCAUUUCAGGCUUUGUUCUGGUUCUGUU